CAGCAGCAGCAGCAGCAACAACAACAACAACAAACACAACAACAUCGACAACAAAUCAACAACGAAGAAAUAGUGCCAAGUGUUUAAAUCAAGCCACAAAGUGCAACAAUAACAAAACAAGAAAUUUAUACAAAA